CAUAUAUAAGCAAUAAUAAGUACUAAUUUGAAAUGAGUUAUUUCGUUAUUUUUUAUUAUUUUUAAUUAUGGACAGUGAUAGUAUACAUAAUACAAUAUGUUAACUUUUAACAUUUAUAUGGAAUAUACUGGCACAGGUUUCGUUUUUAGACUACACGUUGUGUCAAUUAUAGUAUGAAGUAUGAAAAUGCCAUUCAUUUUUUUUUAUUUAUAUCAAUAGAUCGUUUAAAUGAAUACAUUUUUUAGUUGAAUAGCACUUAAUGAGAUGUUUUUUGUUCUUAUGUAAGAGGUAGAGGAAUUCACGAACUUUGUUUUUGCUAUACUCUAAAAUGUUCAUACAUGGACUACAACCCUUCUUCCCUUGUGCCCUUCACUUGUUAUCGCUAUUGAUCGCUGUAUAUGACUUUAAUCAUUUUUAAUAAUUUGUCUUGAUAAGCGGUUCAAUUUUAAUAUUUAUUAGGUAAUAUAUUUUAUUCAUCGCGACUGUUGAACACUUCUAAUAUGAUUUGAUUUUCGUUGGCAAUUGUUAAUAUACCUACUUGUGUUUGAGACAUGAUUUUAUUCAAUUGAUAAUAUAUAUAUUUGGUUUCUUCUACAACAAGUUUGUUCUAUAAUUUGAUCAUGGGUGAAGGCAUCACCUGUUCAAUAAUUGAAAAACGGAUUAUUCAUUCCAGUCCCAUAAAAACGUAGAACAGCGAGAAAUUGGAUUGCCCUCCGGACUGGCAAACCUCUUAUUGAACUAUCAUUUAAUUCGGCUUUGUUAAACACAAGAGGCGUUAAAUAUUCUAAUACAGUUGUUUUUGAAAAUCUACCAAGUAAAAUAUCAAAUAAAUAAUAUUAUGAUAAUUUUAUUUUAUUUUUGUAUAAUCAUAAAACUAGAAUUUAUGUAUUUUUCUUACCUAAAUAGGGUAAUGAACUCAUUGUAAGCAACAUAAUUUAUAUAAUCUUAUCUGUGCCGACGACGGUUCAACGUACUUAAUACAAAAAACUGACAAUGGCUAUUGCACUUGCACUAUAAUACACUGACGAUCCUUGUACUGGGCCUAUCUAUGGGACUUUGGACCUAUUUGAAAAUCCUAUAUAAACCGCUUGAACACGCUUGCGACCGUUGUAAUACGCUUUGAAGUUUCCAUCGCAUUCACGUCGACAAUUGUCUACAGACAACUUUCAUUCCAAAAAUUGAAAAUGGUUUGCGUAAAGAAAUCCUUGAACAUAGUCGUUGUCGGACAAGUCAUGAAGGGAAAUGCUUUCAUCGAUCCAGUCGUGCCUUUUAUAAGAAAACAAAUCGACCAUCAAAGAAAUUAAUUCUGAAAUUGGCUACUAAAUUAAGGAAACAAAAGAUGAUCAUUUCAUCCAAAUCGGUCAAUAUUCAAAAAUGCCAUGUCUCAUGACGACUAAUAUUAUAUUAUGUAGUUCAAUAAGAAAAUAGUAAAAUUUUAAAUAUAGAAAAUUUAUAUUUCAGUACGUGUAA